GACGAACGCUGGCGGCGUGCUUAACACAUGCAAGUCGAACGGAAAGGCCCUGCCUUUGUUGGGGGCUCUAGUGGCGAACGGGAGAGUAACGCAUGAGUAACCUGCCCUGCACUGUGGGAUAACUUCAGGAAGCUGGGGUGAAUACCGGAUAGGAGCGCCUGCUGCUUUGGGGUGGUUGGGAAGUUACGGCGGUGGGUGAUGGAAUCGCGGCUUAUCAGCCUAUUGGUGGGGUAGUGGCUUACCAGGGUACUGACGGGUCGCCGGCCUGCGAGGGUGACCGGCCACAGUGGGAACGAGAUAGGGCCGAGGCUCCUACGGGAGGCAGAAGUGGGGAAUAUUGCAGAAUGGGCGGAGGCGUGAUGCAGAAACGCCGCGUGCGGGAUGAAGGCCUUCGGGUUGUAAACCGAUUUCGCCUGUGACGAAGCGUGAGUGACGGUAAUGGGUAAAGAAGCACCGGCUAACUACGUG
rnacentral:rRNA from 1 species